AUAGGCUGAUGGCCCACUCACCUUUUUAGCUGGGCUCCUGACCUGUCCGGCCAGAAAGUUGCCAUUGGGAAACCUGGACCCCUACUGAAUGGAUCUGCUGGCACCUAGACCUCAGAGAAAGGGGAACUGAAGACUGAAGUCUGACCACUGUUCUUUGUUGAAAAUUUCUUUCUCAGGGGCUUGGAGGGAUCACAUCUACAAUCCUGAGCUAAUAUUCUCUUAUGCUGUCCCCAAAAUUUAAACGAAGCUUCUCUUUCUUAACCCAUUGCAAAUGAGAAAAAUCUUGAAUCUCCCUAUGACUGUAAGCCCUUAUUUCAAGAUAUCCCGCCUUUUUAGGCCAAAACCAAAGUGUAACCUCCAUCUAUUGAUUUACAAUUUUGCCUGUAACUUUGGCUUUCCUGAAAUUUACCCCAGCCUUAAAAAAAAAAAAGAACAGAAAAAGAAAACUGCAAGGCAUCAGGGAGGUCAGAAUUUGGGCAUGAGCUGCCUGAUCCUCCUUGCUUUGCAUCUUUGCAAAUAGAUGCCUUCAGCUGUGCAUGAUGGCUCACACCUCUCAUCCCAGCACUUUGGGAGGCCAAGGCGGGAGGAUUGCUCCAUCCCAGGAGUUCGAGAUCAGGGGCAAAAUGCCGAAACCCUGUCUCUACAAAAAAUUUAAAAAUUAGCUGGGCAUGAUGGUGCACUUCUGUAGUCCCAGCUACUUGGGAGGCUGAGGCAGGGGGAUUCCUUGAGCCCAAGAGGUUGAGGCUACAGUGAGCCAUCAUCGUGCCACUGCACUCCAGCCUGGGAAACAGAAUGAGACCCUGUCUCAAAACAAAACAUUUGAAAAAUAACAAGUUCAGGUGCAGUGGCUCAUACCUGUAAUCCCAGCACUUUGGGAGGCCAAAGUGGUCGGAUCACUUGAGGCCAGUAGUUCAUGACCAGCCUGGCCAACAUGGCAAAACCCCAUCUCUACUAAAAAUACAAAAAUUAGCUGGGUGUGGUGGCUGGCAACUGUAGUCCCAGCUACUCCGGAGGCUGAGGCAGGAAAAUCACUUGAACCCAGGAGGCGGAGGUUGAAGUGAGCCGAGAUCACACCACUGCACUCCAGCCUGGGCAACAGAGCAAGACUCCGUCUCCAAAAAUAACAAAAAAUAAACACAUGCCUUCCUUCCUACUGCUGCACAACCUCACUGUGUCAGGCAGGCAUCUCUGGAUCCAGCUGGUUUUUGUUUUGCUGAGGCUCGGCUUCUUCCUGGAACUUUUUGAAACAACACUCAAGGGUCUCAAAUGGCUGACAUGAUGGUCUGUGACCUGAAAGUUGUUGAAUAGUUGGAGUGUUCUGCAUUCAUGUGGAAGAGGCUAAAGGAUGUUUGAUGAAGCACUAUGGGCUGCCCUGGAAGAGGACUGAAGAAGCAGCUGCAGGAAAGAAACGUCCACUCUGCUCCAGUCAACCCCACUGCUGGUGUCCUCUGCACUGCCUUGCACUCCCUGAAGAGAGCCUGGGCAACAGAGCGAGACUCCAUCUC
rnacentral:lncRNA from 1 species